rnacentral:rRNA from 1 species
UCCGUUUGAUCCUGGCGGAGGCCACUGCUAUCGGGGUUCGAUUAAGCCAUGCGAGUCGAGAGGUGCAAGACCUCGGCAUACUGCUCAGUAACACGUGGACAACCUACCCUAAGGAGGGGGAUAACCCCGGAAAACUGGGGAUAAUACCCCAUAGACUACAGAAGCUGGAAUGCUCUGUAAUUGAAAGGUCCGCCGCCUUAGGAUGGGUCUGCGGCUGAUUAGGUUGUUGUUGGGGUAACGGCCCAACAAGCCUGUAAUCAGUACGGGUUGUGGGAGCAAGAACCCGGAGAUGGAUUCUGAGACACGAAUCCAGGCCCUACGGGGCGCAGCAGGCGCGAAAACUUUACAAUGCGGGAAACCGUGAUAAGGGAACCCCGAGUGCCCGUAAAUUCGGGCUGUUAACCUGUUUAAAAAGCAGGUGGAGAAAGGGCCGGGCAAGACCGGUGCCAGCCGCCGCGGUAAUACCGGCGGCUCGAGUGGUGGCCACUAUUACUGGGCUUAAAGCGUCCGUAGCUGGAUUGUUAAGUCUCUUGGGAAAUCUACCGGCUUAACCGAUAGGCGUUCAAGGGAUACUGGCAAUCUAGGGACCGGGAGGGGUGAGAGGUACUCCAGGGGUAGGAGUGAAAUCCUGUAAUCCUUGGGGGACCACCUGUGGCGAAGGCGUCUCACCAGAACGGCUCCGACAGUGAGGGACGAAAGCUGGGGGAGCAAACCGGAUUAGAUACCCGGGUAGUCCCAGCUGUAAACGAUGCGCGUUAGGUGUAUCGGUGACCACGAGUCACCGAGGUGCCGAAGAGAAAUCGUGAAACGUGCCGCCUGGGAAGUACGGUCGCAAGGCUGAAACUUAAAGGAAUUGGCGGGGGAGCACCACAACGGGUGGAGCCUGCGGUUUAAUCGGACUCAACGCCGGAAAGCUCACCAGAUAAGACAGCGGAAUGAUAGCCGGGCUGAAGACUCUGCUUGACUAGCUGAGAGGAGGUGCAUGGCCGUCGUCAGUUCGUACUGUGAAGCAUCCUGUUAAGUCAGGCAACGAGCGAGACCCA